rnacentral:rRNA from 1 species
ACGAACGCUGGCGGCAUGCUUAACACAUGCAAGUUGAACGAACUAAAUAAGGGCUUGCUCUUAUUUAGUUAGUGGCAAACGGGUGAGUAACACGUGGGAAUCUGCCCAUCAGUACGGAAUAACUUUUGGAAACGAAAGAUAAUACCGUAUAUUCUCUUCGGAGGAAAGAUUUAUCGCUGAUGGAUGAGCCCGCGUUAGAUUAGGUAGUUGGUGGGGUAAUGGCCUACCAAGCCAAUGAUCUAUAGCUGAUCUGAGAGGAUGAUCAGCCACACUGGGACUGAGACACGGCCCAGACUCCUACGGGAGGCAGCAGUGGGGAAUAUUGGACAAUGGGCGAAAGCCUGAUCCAGCAAUGCCGCGUGAGUGAUGAAGGCCUAUUAGGUUGUAAAGCUCUUUGAGCAGGGAAGAUAAUGACGGUACCUGCAGAACAAGCCCCGGCUAACUACGU